rnacentral:rRNA from 1 species
UACGAAGGGGGCUAGCGUUGCACGGAAUCACUGGGCGUAAAGCGCACGUAGGCGGACUCUUAAGUCGGUGGUGAAAUCCUGGAGCUCAACUCCAGAACUGCCUUCGAUACUGAGAGUCUCGAGUCCGAGAGAGGUGAGUGGAACUGCGAGUGUAGAGGUGAAAUUCGUAGAUAUUCGCAAGAACACCAGUGGCGAAGGCGGCUCACUGGCUCGGUACUGACGCUGAGGUGCGAAAGCGUGGGGAGCAAACAGGG